CCUACGGGAGGCAGCAGUGGGGAAUAUUGCGCAAUGGGGGAAACCCUGACGCAGCGACGCCGCGUGAGCGAAGAAGGCCUUAGGGUUGUAAAGCUCUGUUCUAUGGGACGAAGUCCUUGACUGUGAAUAAUGGUCAAGGUUGACGGUACCAUAGGAGGAAGCCCCGGCUAACUACGUGCCAGCAGCCGCGGUAAGACGUAGGGGGCGAGCGUUGUCCGGAAUUACUGGGCGUAAAGAGCACGUAGGCGGGACCUUAAGUCAGGUGUGAAAGACCGGGGCCUAACCCCGGGGUGGCACUUGAAACUGGGGUUCUUGAGGGCAGGAGAGGACAGUAGAAUUCCUGGUGUAGCGGUGAAAUGCGUAGAAAUCAGGAGGAAUACCAGUGGCGAAGGCGACUGUCUGGACUGACCCUGACGCUGAGGUGCGAAAGCGUGGGUAGCAAACAGGAUUAGAUACCCGUGUAGUC
rnacentral:rRNA from 1 species